UCUGCUGGAUCUACUAGCUGCCGAUCCUUACGUAUUAGUGAUGCUUUUGUACAUGCAAUGUUUCAUGAUCAGUGUCUCUAUAAAGUUGAAGCAUGCCAACAACAUACUCACUGCUGUACGUAGAAUUGAAACAACGAUACAAAGAACAAGCGCAAAUAGGUGAGAUUUUUCUCACAUUCGUUUCCACUUGAGGCAAGGCCUUGUCUCGAUAUCUGCAAUAAGGCGGUACUAACGACUUCUCGCUAUAAUCAGGCCACUUGGCGUCUUCCAACACCUGCAAGACGACCGUCUCGUUAGUAAACAGAUCACUUUGAUUAACAGCAUUUUGACUGAUCAACUGCCUUGUGUUUUAUUUGCCGUAACCUUUGUCUACUGUGCUGUCCUAUUAUAUUGCAACAGACUUGAUGAAAUCCGUUCUUACUGCUGGCAGCUCGAGAAGCUGGGCGAUUUUUGCUUUGGUGUUUGUUACUGCUCUCAAUCUCGUCGGUAGUUGCAGGCUGGAAAAGAAUAAAGAUUGUAUUGACAGAAUAAGGAGGCAAGAUACCAACGUUUCAAUGCCUACUGGCAGUGGACAAUUCAGAGACCACAAAAAACCAUCUGGCCCUUCUUCUUCCUCGCCUUCAAUGCAAAGUCCUACCACAUCAGAGCAUCCGACAGCGCCUUCAACAAGCAAGACGAGUCAGCAAUCAAGGAGCAGAACAUCAAAGCCAACAACGAAUUCGAUGAGUCAAGAGCCAAAGAGCACAUUUAUCUCAGUAACAUACCCGACGAGUCAACCAGGAAAGAGCCCAUCAUCAAAGGCCACCACCUCUGCACCAAGGCCCACAUCAAC